AUUGAACGCUGGCGGCAUGCUUUACACAUGCAAGUCGAACGGUAACAGCACUUCGGUGGCUGACGAGUGGCGAACGGGUGAGUAAUACAUCGGAACGUGCCUAGUAGUGGGGGAUAACUACUCGAAAGAGUAGCUAAUACCGCAUGAGAUCUAAGGAUGAAAGCAGGGGACCUUCGGGCCUUGCGCUACUAGAGCGGCUGAUGGCAGAUUAGGUAGUUGGUGGGAUAAAAGCUUACCAAGCCGACGAUCUGUAGCUGGUCUGAGAGGACGACCAGCCACAAUGGGACUGGGACACGGCCCAGACUCCUACGGGAGGCAGCAGUGGGGAAUUUUGGACAAUGGGCGCAAGCCUGAUCCAGCAAUGCCGCGUGCAGGAUGAAGGCCUUCGGGUUGUAAACUGCUUUUGUACGGAACGAAAAGCCCUCUUCUAAUACAGGAGGGUCAUGACGGUACCGUAAGAAUAAGCACCGGCUAACUACGUG
rnacentral:rRNA from 1 species